CAGCCCUGGCCUAGAAGAGUACCAGGCACGAGGAAAGCAGGCACUCCAGCCCCUGCCUCCCCCUCUGCCGAACUGGAGAAUGAAAGUAUCCCCAGGCCCGAAGCCUCAGCUUCAGCUUCGCUGGUCUGUGCUUGCCUCCUGCUGCUUCCUCUGCCUGGGAUGUCCUUCAUCUCUCGCAUGAAGUCGCAUCCUGCUGCCUUCUGAGGACCAGUCCGGGCACCACCUCUCCUAGCUGGAGUCCCUUUGAUGUCCGGUUAUCCCACCCGCAGCUGUCUGUGGCACUUCCCAGCUCUCCGGACCCUGAAGACACUGCCCUCUCUCCUGCCAGGAGAUCUGGCCAUGACUGAAUCAAACCCCAGAAACUGUCCCGGAGUGAUUUCCCCCAGGCGUUUUAAUGGCCACCCUUACAGCAAGAGGCUGUCUGACAACUGCUGGUGUACAGAGUGCGGUUUUCGUCAGUGACCUUACCUAGCCUUUACCACAAAUGUUCAUGCUAAAUUAGGCAAGCAGUUAUCCUCCCUACCUCACCUCACACUUCAGACGUGAUGACAGUGGGGCCCAAAGAAGUUACUUUGAAGAUCACAAAGACAGCGGGUAGAAAAAGUGAGAAUUCAUGUUUUAAAUCUGAGUUCUCUGGCUCGAAUUCCACCAGACCGGCACCUCUCCCACCUGCUCUGCUCAGUAGCUCACAUAGCCAGCACGUGUUUGUUUAUUGGGCACCUGCUGUUGGUGGAGAGCUGCAUAGACUUCGAGCCACGUAAGCCACUGUGGACCCUCCUCUGGCCAAAGCCGGGUCACGUCUCCCCUCCCUUUAAUCUCAGGGCCUGGGCCUCAGUGAAUCUCCCUCUUCUCUGGGAAGCGGUCUUCAUAAACUUAGUGUCCUGGCGCUCUUGUUCCCAAGCCUUGCUGCUGAGAAGUGUUCUGUGUCCCGAUACCACUACAUCACUGCUUCCUGGAUCAGAUUCAUGCGCCCUGCUGACUUGAUAGCUAAGUAACCUUGAGAAGUAAACUGGAGGAGGAGGAUUGCAAAAAUGAAAAUGAGAGCCUGGUGCAGCAAUGCACCCCUAGUCUCAGCUACUCAGGAGGCCGAGGAAGGAGGACUGCAAGUUUGAGACCAGCCCGGGCAACACAGUGAGACCCUGUCUCAAAAUAAAAUAAAAUACAGAGAAAAUAACACACCUACAUGAAAUCGUAUAAGGUUUCCUUGUUGUUUCAGUCCCUGACUUCUUGCUAGAAAGUCCUGAGAAGCCUCGAGCUUUCUGGGCUUAGUUCUGACGGUGCAGCUUCUUUAUGUUGUGAGGCAGGCCUCUCCAUCAGGAGCAGAGAGCAAACAGGGACGGAUCCGGCAUUUGUUGAGGCUCUCCUAGGGGCCAGGCACUGGGCUAGGCCCUGGACACCUCACCUCAGUUGACUCUCACAGUAAGCUUCAGGACGAAGUAUGUGUCUUUCCCAAAUGUGGAAACCGAGGUCCCGGGACGUGACCUGAUGUGCUCAGAUCUGUAUGUCUAGGACGCAGCGAGGUGGGCGGCUUGGUUCCUGGCUCCUUUCUCUGCAAUCACGUGAUUACACAUCUGGUGACAGACUAUUGUGCUCUUCUGUCUAAGAGGCACUUCCCCCCCAGGGGACUUCCAGAAUGGGUGACUCUCAUCUCAGAAACCCAGGCUUCCCACAGGAACUGUCACCGUAGGCUGAUUCUGUUAUCUCUGCCGUGUGGGCGAGAAGCACAAGAGGAGAAGAAAGCUCAGGUUUUCCCCUGGAGGAGACAGCCCCUGGCAGAGGAACAGGCUCACAGAGAAGCUCUUCAUCUGGGAGAAGAGAGCUCGACUCAGCGCGGAAUCGGUACUGGUGGCCGACACGGGAGGCCCCGUCCGAGAGUGGCUCACUCAGGGCCUGGCAACGAGGCCUAUGAAAGCUGACGCCAAAGCCAAUGCUGAUGCUGGUACUAAUGUGACAACCCAGUUGACGCCAACAGGACCUGGCUGCCACAGACACAUGGUGUGGCCUUUCCGAUGGUCACG